UGUCGGUCAGCAAAGGGAUCAGGUCAGUUCUCUCUCCCCCUCCGGCUGUAGGCCGGGUGGGGGAGGGGAAAAGGCCACGAGGCGCCGUGAGCUAGGCCGGAGGCCUUGGAUCUUGGAGAGAGAAGAGAGAAAAGAGAUAAGAUGCGCCGGGCAGCUCCUGGAAGUUGGCCAAGAGUGAGAAGAGAGUCCGGCAUCUAUAGAGAUGAUUUUUAACUUUUUUCUUCACGAUGGAAACCUUCCAAGCAUUGAUCCUCCCGGAGGACAGAGAUAAGAACAAGAAGAAAUGGACAAGUGAAAUGAGAGAAAGGAAUGGGAAUUGAACAACAUGGAAGGAAAGAGAAAGGUGGAGACGUUCCCUUUUGCAGGAAACCCUCUAAAACAGCUGGCAGAAGUGAAGGCAAUUUCUUCAGUCAACACUCAGCAUCUUCACACAGCAUCUUUGGGUGAUCUGAGUCCUCUGCCCUGUGAUAGAAGAGGGGUCCUCAGGCAGUGCACAGUGCCUGGCAAAAAGGCACUGCAGCACCAUUGUCCCAGGGAAGCUGGGCUGAGGCAGGGUGUGACAGACACCUUGCAGAAACCACGUCUCAGAAGUCUCUGUUUUCAUUGUCUGGUACCCUGGAUGAAGGUCUCUCCAUGUGGUAUUGAUACAGCCAGCUCCUGCUCCUGGAAGUUUGUUUUACCUGCAGCUGCAGUAUUUUAGGGGAAUGUAUUUUAGGGAACUCUGCAUUUUAGAGGUAUAGUUGCUCUACCAGAAUGGAGUCAGACAGCAAGUUAUUUCACACAACCAUGCACAUGUCUAAAUACAUACUAAUCAUGAAGAUGGCCCUGCUAAACAUUAUGGCCCUGUUAUGGCUGAUGUACAAACACGUAUCAGCCUUAUCAUCCUCCUCUAACACCCAAACAGAAGAGAUGUCAAUAACUCUAUGGAAAGUCCAAGACAGAAAUUUUAUUCAGCACUGAUGACCAUAAAAAAUAAAAUCUCAUUCCUUUGUUGUUCAAAAUUUGAGAAGCAUAUUAAUGAGAUCCAGAGUUUGCUCUUUAUCUAUGCCAUCUUUUACUGUCAUUUUAGAUCAUGGAGCUCUCCAGUCUUGAAUGCACUUCACCAGAAAGCACCAGGAUGGAUCUCUAAUUUUUCUGUCCCUUUGGUAAAGUGCAAGAGAGAGGAACAGAGAGUUAGUGAACAGAUUUUUAAACCAGCCCUUCACAUUAAACACAAGUUUCUAGGGCUGUGCAUAAUAAGACCAUUUCUGAUUAGUGACAACCUCAUUAGAAUAAAACAGAGGUUCUUUUA